rnacentral:rRNA from 1 species
GGGCAAGCUACUACGGGCGCACGGUGGAUGCCUUGGCGUCUGGAGCCGAUGAAGGGCGUGGAAUAGCUGCGAUAAGCCCGGGGGAGAGGCCGAUCACUCGUGAUCACCCCGGGAUUCCCGAAUGGGGCAACCCGCCAGGUUCGCCUGGUACCCGCCUUCGGGCGGGGGGCAAGUGGGGGAACUGAAACAUCUAAGUACCCCGAGGAGAAGAGACUAUUCCCCAAGUAGAGGCGAACGAACGGGGAUCAGCCUAAACCCGACCCGCGUAACAGGCCGGUCGCCGUUGCGGGUUCGGGGGUUGUGAGUAUAUUCCGGAGGGGCCGACCGGGCCCGUCGGGGAGUGAGAAAGCGAGCGGUUAGCGGAAGCGGCCUGGAAAGGCCCGCCGCAGACGGUGAUAGCCCGGUACGCGAAAGCCGGCUCGCCUCCCUGGGGAUGUGACUCGAGUACCACGGGGCACGUGUAAUCACCGUGGGAAUCAGGGCGGACCACCGUCCAAGGCUAAAUACUCCAGACGACCGAUAGUGGACCAGUACCGUGAGGGAAAGGCGAAAAGAACCCCGGCGAGGGGAGUGAAAUAGAACCUGAAACCGUGCGCUCACAAGCUGUCGGAGCGCUAUAUGCGUGACGGCGUACUUUUUGUAGAACGGACCGGCGAGUUGAUCUGCGUCGCGAGGCUAAGGGGGCGAUACCCGGAGCCGCAGCGAAAGCGAGUCUGAAUAGGGCGACAAUGAGUGGCGUGGAUCAGACCCGAAACCGAAGUGAGCUACCCAUGGCCAGGGUGAAGCGCGGGUAAAGCCGCGUGGAGGCCCGAACCCACCAGUGUUACAAAACUGGGGGAUGAGCUGUGGAUAGAGGUGAAAUGCCAAUCGAACUCGGAGAUAGCUGGUUCUCCCCGAAAUGCAUUUAGGUGCAGCCUCGGGAAUAACGUUGUCGGAGGUAGGGCGUUGGAUCGGCUAGGGG